rnacentral:rRNA from 1 species
UAUGUGAUCGUCUCUCGCAUAUCAAUAAGCGGAGGAAAAGAAACUAACAAGGAUUCCCCUAGUAACGGCGAGUGAAGCGGGAAGAGCUCAAAUUUGAAAUCUUAAAGGGUUUCCCUUUACGAAUUGUAGUUUAAAGAAGUGUUUUCUGUUGAGGUUUUGGUAAAAGUUCUUUGGAAUAGGACAUCAUAGAGGGUGAGAAUCCCGUAUUUGACCUUUACUUUCAACUUUGUGAUACACUUUCAAAGAGUCGGAUUGUUUGGGAAUGCAGUCCAAAAUGGGUGGUAAAUUUCAUCUAAAGCUAAAUAUCGGCGAGAGACCGAUAGCGAACAAGUACCGUGAGGGAAAGAUGAAAAGAACUUUGAAAAGAGAGUUAAACAGUACGUGAAAUUGUCAAAAGGGAAGCGUUUGACACCAGUGUUGUUUUUCUGAAAAUCAAUUAAAGAACUGUUUAUGCUAAGCUGUUUAGACUUUAUCAGCUAUCUGUUUAGUUUUGAGCUUUUCUUUAAUGCACUUUUCAGUUAACAAGUCAACAUCAAUUUCUUUUGCUGUAAAAAAGCUUGAGGAAGGCGGCUUGAGAUUCGUCUUAAGUGUUUAUAGCCUCUUGCCUAUGCAGUCGGAGAGAUUGAGGUCUGCAGCGUAGAUCCUUCGGGGCUAAAUGCAUUUGUGCUAAGUUAUAGCAUUUUAUAGACAACUUGUUGACUAUGAUUUGUCUUGUAGCUUACUCGCUUAUGUUAUUUUACCUACGCUUAGGAUGUUGAGCGCAUGUCUCUCUCU